rnacentral:rRNA from 1 species
CCUACGGGAGGCAGCAGUGCGGAAUAUUGGUCAAUGGCCGGAAGGCUGAACCAGCCAUGCCGCGUGAAGGUCAGUGCCCUAUGGGCGUUAAACUUCUUUUGUUCGGGAGCAAUAAUGGUCACGUUUGGCCCGACGAUAGUACCGUACGAAUAAGCCUCGGCGCACCCCGUUCCAGCAGCCGCGGUAAUACGGGGGAUGCAAGCGUUAUCCGGAUUUAUUGGGUUUAAAGGGUGCGUAGGCGGACUGUUAAGUCAGCGGUAAAAGCCCGGGGCUCAACCCCGGCGAGACGUUGAAACUGGCUGUCGUGAGAUGGCGAGAGGUAUGCGGAAUGCGCAGUGUAGCGGUGAAAUGCUUAGAUAUUGCGCAGAACUCAGAUUGCGAAGGCAGCAUACCGGCGGCGAUCUGACGCUGAGGCACGAAAGCGUGGGUAUCGAACAGGAUUAGAUACCCCGGUAGUC